rnacentral:lncRNA from 1 species
AUGCCCACCCAAUUCACUGUGCUUUCUACUUCUCCCGCUGGAAAGCCUUGCUCUGGAGGAAGGCAGCUGCAGAGGAAGAUCCACAGAACCCCAAUCUUGGAUGGCUACUCGUGUCCCUCCAAUCUCCAGGCUCUCCUCCCUCUGGUUCACACUGCACAUUGCUUCACUAACCUGCUGGCUGCCUCACCAGCAACCGCGUUACCUUCGGACUGAACAGAGAUUUCAAGGUACUCCAUUUUGACCCCACCCUACCUCA